GAAAUACUGAUUUAACUUAUAGCUUUGAUUUCAUUCUAUUUCUUAUUUCUAGUAUUUUUCUAUUUUGCUAUCCACACAUUAAUAUAUUGCUAUUUUUGCUUUAGUUUGAAUUUUACCUUAUUAGAUUGUUAUAACUGUUCUCUAUAGCUACUCUAUAAAUUGUCUCUCAUUUUUUCUAUUUCCUGCUCCAUAUACUUUUCCUCUCAUUCACAGUUACCCCACCACCUUCUCCAUUUUCUGUAGGAUCCACUACUUAAUUAUUAAUACUCUCAGCAUUAAAACACUGUAAGCUGUACUUCUCCCAGCCAAUUCCCUGUUGCUGCUGUCAAUGAAUUUUAGUAGGACACCACCACUGUACACUGUGUCUUCUAGCUGCCAUCAGCAAUUGUGUCAGAUGCCAUAGUUGACUCCCUGCUUAAACACUAAUAAGAAGGAUGCAGUCAUGAAUAGACAACACACCCUAAAUCAAACAAACAGAAAGCAGAGAAAGGGAAUAUUCCUAUUCCAAAAUAUGUGCAGCAUACAUCAGGAAAACAAAACACCAAAUCUUCAUAAGAAAAGAGAAGAGAAGAGAAGAGAAGAGAAGAGAAGAGAAGAGGAGAGGAGAGGAGAGGAGAGGAGAGGAGAGGAGAGGAGAGGAGAGGAGAGGAGAGGAGAGGAGAGGAGAGGAGAGGAGAGAAGAGAACAAUAGAAUGAAGAGACAAGAAAGGAAACAACAGACCAGUAUGCUGAUCCCUAUAAAAGGCACUACUCCUUGAAACCACAAACCAAAGGUGAUAUAGGCAAAAUGCCAGAAGGAAAUUCAGAUUGCAAUAUUUAAAAAGGAUCAAUGACCACCUAAAGGACCCAAGUAAGUAGAUGAGUGAAAGAAGAAAAUCUAUUAAGAACCCAGACAAAAUAGAUAAAUAGCCAAUUUGGAAGGCAGAACAAACAGCAUGAAGAAAAGUUAAACGAAGCAACUGAGACUCUAAAAAGGAAACUAAGGAAGCUUCUGUAAAUGAAGGAGUCACUCAAUUGUAGAAGACAGAAGAACCAAACAGAAGAAUUCAGUUCAGGAAGUAGAGGACAGACUUGAGAUAAUCAUAUAACCAGUUGCAUACAACCAAAGAAGAAGGGUAUGACCAAAACUUCCAUGAUCUCUUUGAUACAUUUAAGUAGGAGCUGAGAUAAUGCCUACAAAUCUACAUUAUCUAUUUAGUAAAUGGCAUUUCCUAAUUGUAGAAAUAGAUUGUCAAAUAUAAGGAGCAUUUAAAACUCCAAAUAGAAAUAGACAGAGAAGAAUCUAUCCAGCACAUUAUCAGAGAGAGUAGAAGGGGGGAAUGCAAACUCAUCUACCAAGGCAGACACAUCAUUAUAAUAAUACAUCUAACUAAGCAAACAGCAAUGUAACAAGCCAAAUACGAUGAUUGCUAUAAACAAAAGCUUUCUCCAAACUUAACCUUGGAAUAUGGGCAUUUCAUGAUAAAGUGGUUGAUUGUUACUGAAUCUUUACUGCUGAAAGUAUUGAAACGAUUUUACAUUGAAGGGAAAAAAAACGAUCUUAUUCAUGAGCACAAAAGAAAGAAUAAACUUCACAGGAGAUUCCGAUGGAAAAAAGAGGGCUAGGAAUUAAUCCAUCAACUCCAAAGUAUUAAGGAAGAAAAAAAAUCUAGCAAUGAUCCAAAAACCAAAAUAGCAGAUAACAAAACCAUUUGGAAACAGAAAACUUCUGUUAAUAUUAACCUUAAAUUUGAAUAACUUCAACUCACCAUCUAAAAGACACAGCUCUGUUGACUAAAUUAAAAAAUAAGAUCAACUUACCUAUUUUCUUCCAAAAAAAAUUCAAGUCAAGAGCACCCACUAACUGGCUUCUGACAUUAAAGUCAAACAGUAAGCUACAAACAACGUGGUAUUGCUCUUCUGAUAGUUGUCAUAGAUGACUUCAAAGGAAAACUUGUUAGAAUAGAAUUUUAAAAAGGAAACUAUAUAUUAAUAAAAAGGAAAUUCAUCAGAUAAACUAACAAUUAUAGAUGUUUAGUCACUAAGUGGUAGUGUUAUAGUUUCACAAACAUAAAAGGGGGGGAAUAACAGGCUUGCAUACAGGAGUAGUGGGUACCUCCAAUACAGAAUCCUUAAUUCUGAUAAUAUAUU
rnacentral:lncRNA from 1 species